CCUACGGGGGGCAGCAGUGGGGAAUAUUGGACAAUGGGGGGAACCCUGAUCCAGCGACGCCGCGUGAGUGAAGAAGUAUUUCGGUAUGUAAAGCUCUAUCAGCAGGGAAGAAAGAAAUGACGGUACCUGACUAAGAAGCCCCGGCUAACAACGUGACAGCAGCCGCGGUAAUACGGAGGGGGCAAGCGUUAUCCGGAUUUACUGGGUGUAAAGGGAGCGUAGACGGCGAUGCAAGUCUGAAGUGAAAGGCGUGGGCCCAACACCUGGACUGCUUUUGAAACUGUAUGGCUGGAGUGCAGGAGAGGUGAGUGGAAUUCCUAGUGUAGCGGUGAAAUGCGUAGAUAUUAGGAGGAACACCGGUGGCGAAGGCGGCUUACUGGACUGUAACUGACGUUGAGGCUCGAAAGCGUGGGGAGCAAACAGGAUUAGAUACCCCUGUAGUC
rnacentral:rRNA from 1 species